rnacentral:rRNA from 1 species
AGGAAAAGAAACUAACAAGGAUUCCCCUAGUAACGGCGAGUGAAGAGGGAAGAGCCCAAGAUUGAAAGCUGGCGCCUUCGGCGUCCGCAUUGUAAUCUCAAGAAGUGUUUUCCGCUUCGGACCAUGCCUAAGUCCCUUGGAAAAGGGCAUCAUAGAGGGUGAUAAUCCCGUACAUGGCAUGGAGCGCCCGAAGCUUUGUGAUACGCUUUCUACGAGUCGAGUUGUUUGGGAAUGCAGCUCAAAAUGGGUGGUAAAUGCCAUCUAAGGCUAAAUAUUGGGGAGAGACCGAUAGCGAACAAGUACAGUGAUGGAAAGAUGAAAAGAACUUUGAAAAGAGAGUUAAACAGUACGUGAAAUUGCCAAAAGGGAAGGGUAGGAGGUCAGAGAUGCGUCCUGGGAUUCAGCCUUGCUUCUGCAUGGUGUUUUUCCCAGGCUGCAGGCCAACGUCGGUUUUGGGCACUGGAGAAGGGUGGAAGGAACGUGGCACCUCUCGGGGUGUGUUAUAGCCUUCCACUGGAUACAGCGACCGAGACCGAGGACAGCAGCGUACUCGCAAGAGCGGGCCUUCGGGCACCUUUACGCUUAGGGCGUUGGCAUAAUGGCCCUCUACCACCCGU